AGAGUUUGAUCAUGGCUCAGAUUGAACGCUGGCGGCAGGCCUAACACAUGCAAGUCGAGCGGUAGCACAGAGAGCUUGCUCUCGGGUGACGAGCGGCGGACGGGUGAGUAAUGUCUGGGAAACUGCCUGAUGGAGGGGGAUAACUACUGGAAACGGUAGCUAAUACCGCAUAAUGUCGCAAGACCAAAGUGGGGGACCUUCGGGCCUCAUGCCAUCAGAUGUGCCCAGAUGGGAUUAGCUAGUAGGUGGGGUAACGGCUCACCUAGGCGACGAUCCCUAGCUGGUCUGAGAGGAUGACCAGCCACACUGGAACUGAGACACGGUCCAGACUCCUACGGGAGGCAGCAGUGGGGAAUAUUGCACAAUGGGCGCAAGCCUGAUGCAGCCAUGCCGCGUGUGUGAAGAAGGCCUUCGGGUUGUAAAGCACUUUCAGCGGGGAGGAAGGCGUUAAGGUUAAUAACCUCAUCGAUUGACGUUACCCGCAGAAGAAGCACCGGCUAACUCCGUGCCAGCAGCCGCGGUAAUACGGAGGGUGCAAGCGUUAAUCGGAAUUACUGGGCGUAAAGCGCACGCAGGCGGUCUGUCAAGUCGGAUGUGAAAUCCCCGGGCUCAACCUGGGAACUGCAUUCGAAACUGGCAGGCUAGAGUCUUGUAGAGGGGGGUAGAAUUCCAGGUGUAGCGGUGAAAUGCGUAGAGAUCUGGAGGAAUACCGGUGGCGAAGGCGGCCCCCUGGACAAAGACUGACGCUCAGGUGCGAAAGCGUGGGGAGCAAACAGGAUUAGAUACCCUGGUAGUCCACGCCGUAAACGAUGUCGAUUUGGAGGUUGUGCCCUUGAGGCGUGGCUUCCGGAGCUAACGCGUUAAAUCGACCGCCUGGGGAGUACGGCCGCAAGGUUAAAACUCAAAUGAAUUGACGGGGGCCCGCACAAGCGGUGGAGCAUGUGGUUUAAUUCGAUGCAACGCGAAGAACCUUACCUGGUCUUGACAUCCACAGAACUUUCCAGAGAUGGAUUGGUGCCUUCGGGAACUGUGAGACAGGUGCUGCAUGGCUGUCGUCAGCUCGUGUUGUGAAAUGUUGGGUUAAGUCCCGCAACGAGCGCAACCCUUAUCCUUUGUUGCCAGCGGUUCGGCCGGGAACUCAAAGGAGACUGCCAGUGAUAAACUGGAGGAAGGUGGGGAUGACGUCAAGUCAUCAUGGCCCUUACGACCAGGGCUACACACGUGCUACAAUGGCAUAUACAAAGAGAAGCGACCUCGCGAGAGCAAGCGGACCUCAUAAAGUAUGUCGUAGUCCGGAUUGGAGUCUGCAACUCGACUCCAUGAAGUCGGAAUCGCUAGUAAUCGUAGAUCAGAAUGCUACGGUGAAUACGUUCCCGGGCCUUGUACACACCGCCCGUCACACCAUGGGAGUGGGUUGCAAAAGAAGUAGGUAGCUUAACCUUCGGGAGGGCGCUUACCACUUUGUGAUUCAUGACUGGGGUGAAGUCGUAACAAGGUAACCGUAGGGGAACCUGCGGUUGGAUCACCU
rnacentral:rRNA from 1 species